CGGAGAGGGCGGCACUGGAGCCGUGUUCAUGGUAAGGGACCAACCAAAUUCCUAGAGAGCAGGGGGAGCUGAAAGCAAGUUGAAAGUGCUAUCACUAUCCCUGCUAUGCACAUGAUUACAUUCCUUAAUAACCCAAUAUUUCUGUCAGUUUGUUCCCAAUAUGAGUCUUGAUAUUUCCAGCUAAUACUGAAUGUCAGUUACACCUUUCUGUGUGUGUUACAGGGCCAUCACCAUCGAAGAGGUAAGGUAGCCGUCAAGAUGGCCAACAUCACUCGGGUAAGGUUUCUUUAUAGUUCCUUUCUCCAUAUCAUCCCUAUUGUGUGGCUGCCUAUGUGAGCUAAAGGGUUUCUAUUUUUCCUCUCCAGGAUGAGGAGUCAGUCUGCCGAGAGGUAAGCUUUCUCCUGAAGUUCAGCAGGCACAGGAACAUCGCCUCUUACUAUGGAGCUUAUUACCACCCUGCUCCAAACGAGACGUCAUCGGAGUAUCUGGAGGUAAGAAAUUGUUUGUUGCAUCACAUUCAUCCCUUAUGUGCCAAAGAGAUCUCCAUUGGAGGCGAUAAAAUACAUACACGGCCUGAAAUCAUUCCUUCCUAUUGCAGCUUGUCCUUGAGUACUGCAGCGGCGGCUCCCUGUACAACCUGAUCGACAGCACCGAAGGCCAAUCCCUGAAGGAGACCUGGAUUGGCUAUGUCUGCAGGGAGGUAUUGAAGGCUCUCAACCACAUUCACCACCACCGGGCCGUUCACAGGGACAUCAAGAGCCCCAACGUGAUGCUCACCGAGAAGGGAAACAUCAAACUCAGUGAGUAAAACUUAUAGUUGUAAGAUGAAUGGAUGGGGGGAAGCUUCUGUGGAUAUAAAGUACAGAGGGUAUCAUGAUACAGGUUUCUAUCUUAUUGCCCUUAAAAUGAAUUCAUUUUCCAUUUAUAUAUUUAAUCUGUCAUUUCAGUCGAUUUCGGACUCUGCUGGGACCUGGACCCACAGACAGGAAAGUGCAACCAGGCUGAUGGGACAGCGCACUGGAUGGCACCCGAGGCCUUUAGGAGGAGGGACAGGGAACCGGAAUUCGACACCAAAUGUGACAUCUGGUCCCUUGGAAUCACUGCCAUCGAAAUGGCCGAGGGAGAAACACGUAAGUGAAUCACAACAAUUGUGGGUUUCUGUACAUUGUAACCAAGGAAUUGUUACCCAGUCUGGCAAAGAGCCUUUAUUUAGUCAUUUGUUACAUGCAGAAAUCCAGGCCAUGCCUGUGUUUCUAUGUGCAGGGGUAUUGUUUGUUUGUUAUGUAUUGUUUGUUAUAAUUAUUCUAAAGCAAAAUGUCUAUUAUGGUGGAAAUAGCGAAUAAGCCCCAAUACUUCAGCUUCGUGUUUGAAGGGACUGAUAUAUAUAUGUUUUUAACUUUUAGCAUACGCCGAUCAGGAGCUAGUGUCGGACCUGAUCAUUGCUAACGACUCUCCGAGGCUCAUAUCAAGGACCUGGUCUCAAACUUUUGUGUCCUUCUUGGAGUCGUGCCUUGAGAAGGAUCCUUCCCGGAGAUGGAGUGCGGAAGAGCUGCUGCAGCACCCGUUCAUUACUGAACUGCCCCCUGCGAAGACCAUCAGGGCUGAAAUCGAGGAACACCUUCGGGCUGUGCAGAACCGGCCGGCCAAACAAGGUGAAGGAAUCCAUUAUAUUUGUUAUGGCUGUACUGUCACAUCACUUAACUUACUAAAAUGAGAAGCUGCUUGAGCUGGAAUUGUAAUAGUGGUGCUAGGAAUAAUAAACACAUU